rnacentral:rRNA from 1 species
UAAAAUGAGAGUUUGAUCCUGGCUCAGGACGAACGCUGGCGGCGUGCCUAAUACAUGCAAGUCGAGCGAGCGGAACUAACAGAUUUACUUCGGUAAUGACGUUAGGAAAGCGAGCGGCGGAUGGGUGAGUAACACGUGGGGAACCUGCCCCAUAGUCUGGGAUACCACUUGGAAACAGGUGCUAAUACCGGAUAAGAAAGCAGAUCGCAUGAUCAGCUUUUAAAAGGCGGCGUAAGCUGUCGCUAUGGGAUGGCCCCGCGGUGCAUUAGCUAGUUGGUAAGGUAAAGGCUUACCAAGGCGAUGAUGCAUAGCCGAGUUGAGAGACUGAUCGGCCACAUUGGGACUGAGACACGGCCCAAACUCCUACGGGAGGCAGCAGUAGGGAAUCUUCCACAAUGGACGCAAGUCUGAUGGAGCAACGCCGCGUGAGUGAAGAAGGUUUUCGGAUCGUAAAGCUCUGUUGUUGGUGAAGAAGGAUAGAGGUAGUAACUGGCCUUUAUUUGACGGUAAUCAACCAGAAAGUCACGGCUAACUACGUGCCAGCAGCCGCGGUAAUACGUAGGUGGCAAGCGUUGUCCGAAUUUAUUGGGCGUAAAGCGAGCGCAGGCGGAAGAAUAAGUCUGAUGUGAAAGCCCUCGGCUUAACCGAGGAACUGCAUCGGAAACUGUUUUUCUUGAGUGCAGAAGAGGAGAGUGGAACUCCAUGUGUAGCGGUGGAAUGCGUAGAUAUAUGGAAGAACACCAGUGGCGAAGGCGGCUCUCUGGUCUGCAACUGACGCUGAGGCUCGAAAGCAUGGGUAGUGAACAGGAUUAGAUACCCUGGUAGUCCAUGCCGUAAACGAUGAGUGCUAAGUGUUGGGAGGUUUCCGCCUCUCAGUGCUGCAGCUAACGCAUUAAGCACUCCGCCUGGGGAGUACGACCGCAAGGUUGAAACUCAAAGGAAUUGACGGGGGCCCGCACAAGCGGUGGAGCAUGUGGUUUAAUUCGAAGCAACGCGAAGAACCUUACCAGGUCUUGACAUCUAGUGCCAUUUGUAGAGAUACAAAGUUCCCUUCGGGGACGCUAAGACAGGUGGUGCAUGGCUGUCGUCAGCUCGUGUCGUGAGAUGUUGGGUUAAGUCCCGCAACGAGCGCAACCCUUGUUAUUAGUUGCCAGCAUUAAGUUGGGCACUCUAAUGAGACUGCCGGUGACAAACCGGAGGAAGGUGGGGAUGACGUCAAGUCAUCAUGCCCCUUAUGACCUGGGCUACACACGUGCUACAAUGGGCAGUACAACGAGAAGCGAGCCUGCGAAGGCAAGCGAAUCUCUGAAAGCUGUUCUCAGUUCGGACUGCAGUCUGCAACUCGACUGCACGAAGCUGGAAUCGCUAGUAAUCGCGGAUCAGCACGCCGCGGUGAAUACGUUCCCGGGCCUUGUACACACCGCCCGUCACACCAUGGGAGUCUGCAAUGCCCAAAGCCGGUGGCCUAACCUUCGGGAAGGAGCCGUCUAAGGCAGGGCAGAUGACUGGGGUGAAGUCGUAACAAGGUAGCCGUAGGAGAACCUGCGGCUGGAUCACCUCCUUU